GGGCACUUGGCGCAGCUGGUAGCGCGCAUGCUUUGCACUAACACGUUGUUGACGCUUGCAUGAGGUCGGGAGUUCAAGCCUCUCAGUGUCCA